AGCGAACGCUGGCGGCAGGCCUAACACAUGCAAGUCGAACGAACCUUUCGGGGUUAGUGGCGGACGGGUGAGUAACACGUGGGAACGUGCCCUUAGGUUCGGAAUAACUCAGGGAAACUUGUGCUAAUACCGAAUGUGCCCUUCGGGGGAAAGAUUUAUCGCCGUUAGAGCGGCCCGCGUCUGAUUAGCUAGUUGGUUGAGGUAAUGGCUCACCAAGGCGACGAUCAGUAGCUGGUCUGAGAGGAUGAUCAGCCACAUUGGGACUGAGACACGGCCCAAACUCCUACGGGAGGCAGCAGUGGGGAAUCUUGCGCAAUGGGCGAAAGCCUGACGCAGCCAUGCCGCGUGAAUGAUGAAGGUCUUAGGAUUGUAAAAUUCUUUCACCGGGGAAGAUAAUGACGGUACCCGGAGAAGAAGCCCCGGCUAACUUCGUG
rnacentral:rRNA from 1 species